GACGAACCGUGCGAACGUUGUUCGGGAUCACUGGGCUUAAAGGGCGCGUAGGCGGCUUGCCAAGUCAGGGGUGAAAUCUUUCGGCUCAACCGGAAAAGUGCCUUUGAUACUGGUAAGCUGGAGGGAGGUAGGGGCAUGUGGAACUUCCAGUGGAGCGGUGAGACGCGUUGAUAUUGGAAGGAACGCCGGUGGCGAAAGCGACGUGCUGGACCUCUUCUGACGCUGAGGCGCGAAAGCUAGGGGAG
rnacentral:rRNA from 1 species